rnacentral:lncRNA from 1 species
GAACCUGGCUCCUUCCUGUAUUAUGCUCCCUUCGAUGGCAUCCUGGGGCUGGCCUACCCCAGCAUUUCCUCCUCCGGGGCCACACCCGUCUUUGACAACAUCUGGAACCAGGGCCUGGUUUCUCAGGACCUCUUCUCUGUCUACCUCAGCGCCGAUGACAAGAGUGGCAGCGUGGUGAUCUUUGGUGGCAUUGACUCUUCUUACUACACUGGAAGUCUGAACUGGGUGCCUGUUACCGUCGAGGGUUACUGGCAGAUCACCGUGGAC